AGCGAACGCUGGCGGCAGGCUUAACACAUGCAAGUCGAGCGGGCCCUUCGGGGUCAGCGGCAGACGGGUGAGUAACACGUGGGAACGUACCCUUUGGUUCGGAAUAACGCUGGGAAACUAGCGCUAAUACCGGAUACGCCCUUUUGGGGAAAGGCUUGCUGCCGAAGGAUCGGCCCGCGUCUGAUUAGCUAGUUGGUGGGGUAAUGGCCUACCAAGGCGACGAUCAGGAGCUGGUCUGAGAGGAUGAUCAGCCACACUGGGGCUGAGACACGGCCCAGACUCCUACGGGAGGGAGCAGUGGGGAAUAUUGGACAAGGGGGGCAGGUCUGAUCCAGCCAUGCCGCGGGAGUGAUGAAGGCCUUAGGGUUGUAAAGCUCUUUUGUCCGGGACGAUAAUGACGGUACCGGAAGAAUAAGCCCCGGCUAACUUCGUG
rnacentral:rRNA from 1 species